rnacentral:rRNA from 1 species
UACGGAGGGUGCAAGCGUUAAUCGGAAUUACUGGGCGUAAAGCGUGCGUAGGCGGUGGACCAAGUCUGGUGUGAAAUCUCCCGGCUCAACCGGGAGGGUGCGCCGGAAACUGGUUCGCUGGAGUGCGGGAGAGGCAAGCGGAAUUCCAGGUGUAGCGGUGAAAUGCGUAGAUAUCUGGAGGAACACCCGUGGUGCAGACGGCUUGCUGGACCGUGACUGACGCUGAGGCACGAAAGCGUGGGUAGCAAACAGG